CAGCGCCGAACAGGAGCUCCCCACGCACGGUGCCAGACACCAGCGGCUGACCUCUCCUGCCUCUCCCUCGCCCCCUCCCCUCCAGCCGGCCAUCUCCCUCCCCUGCCCUCGGCCUUCGGCAUCCGGCCCUCUCCUCCGCGGCUCCGUCAGGCGCCAGGCCGCCAAUCCACCUCCGGCCUCCCUAGCACGGGGCAGCUCCCUGACUUCCUCCGGCCACCGUCCUCGGGCUCGGGGCUCCCCGGCUCGGCGGCUCCCCGGCGUGGCGGCACCGCGGCAGCGCCAUCCAGCAGGCAACAGGCAGCAGACCAGCAGCAUCAGUCCGGCAUCCACACAAUGUUUGUCCAAUCUUAAGUUGGUGCUCAUUCUUCUGGUAGCCACUGCCAGUGUUGAGAGGGUAUUUACCUCAAUGAAAUACGUGAAGAAUCCACUAAGAAACAAAAUGGAUGAUGAAUAUUUGAACAAUUGCUUGGUUACAUUUCGUUGAGGGUGAAUUCUUCAAGCAAGUGAAAGAUGAGGAUGUCAUCAAUCUCUUCCAAAAAGGGGAUCUUAAAGUUAUAUUGUAAUUUUCUUUGCUAUUUGUAAUCUUUCUUAAUUGUUAGAGAUAUUGCCACAAUGAUAUUUUGCUACUAUUAUUGAUAUAUGGUCAUUGAGUCAUUGAUGUUACCAUCUUACUGUA